GGCUUUGCACAGUGGCAGUAUCGUAGUCAAUGAGGUUUAUCUGAGGUGCGAUUAUUGCUAAUAGAGA
rnacentral:snRNA from 1 species